GCCGGGUGUGGUGGCACACACCUGUAAUCCCAGCACCUGAGGAGGCUGAGAUAGGAGGAUCAAGAGUUCAAAGCCACCUAAGCAACAGCAAGGCACUAAGCAACUCAGUGAGACCCUGUCUCUA
rnacentral:sRNA from 1 species